UUACUUGGAUAACCGUGGUAAUUCUAGAGCUAAUACAUGCUAAAAACCUCGACUUCGGAAGGGGUGUAUUUAUUAGAUAAAAAACCAAUGCCCUUCGGGGCUCCCUGGUGAUUCAUAAUAACUAAACGAAUCGCAUGGCCUUGCGCCGGCGAUGGUUCAUUCAAAUUUCUGCCCUAUCAACUUUCGAUGGUAGGAUAGUGGCCUACCAUGGUGGCAACGGGUAACGGGGAAUUAGGGUUCUAUUCCGGAGAGGGAGCCUGAGAAACGGCUACCACAUCCAAGGAAGGCAGCAGGCGCGCAAAUUACCCAAUCCCGACACGGGGAGGUAGUGACAAUAAAUACUGAUGUGGAGCUCUUUAGGGUUUCACAAUUGGAAUGAGAAAAAUCUAAACCACUUAAACGAGGAACAAUUGGAGGGCAAGUCUGGUGCCAGCAGCCGCGGUAAUUCCAGCUCCAAUAGCGUAUAUUAAAGUUGUUGCAGUUAAAAAGCUCGUAGUUGAACCUUGGGCCUGGCCGUCCGGUCCGCCUCACCGCGUGCACUGGUUCGGCCGGGCCUUUCCUCCUGGGGAACCGCAUGCCCUUCACUGGGUGUGCCGGGGAAUCAGGACUUUUACUUUGAAAAAAUUAGAGUGUUCAAAGCAGGCAUUUGCUCGAAUACAUUAGCAUGGAAUAAUAGAAUAGGACGUUGUGGUUCUAUUUUGUUGGUUUCUAGGACCGCCGUAAUGAUUAAUAGGGACGA
rnacentral:rRNA from 1 species